CCCUAGAGGGGGACAACAGUUGGAAACGACUGCUAAUACCGCAUACGAUCUAACCUCGGCAUCGAGGAUAGAUGAAAGGUGGCCUCUACAUGUAAGCUAUCACUGAAGGAGGGGAUUGCGUCUGAUUAGCUAGUUGGAGGGGUAACGGCCCACCAAGGCGAUGAUCAGUAGCCGGUCUGAGAGGAUGAACGGCCACAUUGGGACUGAGACACGGCCCAG
rnacentral:rRNA from 1 species